UAAACUGAGUUUGAGAGCCCUGUCCUAAACACUCUCUCCUGGAAACAAUUACUACUCCUUUGAAGUAAUAUUUUCCGUUAUACCAUGGUCAAUUGUUCCUCUCUCCAUUUUUCCUUAUUUGCAGAGGUGAAGGAGGAUCUCAAGCAUAAAUUCACAAAGCAAUUACAGUACUGUUUUACACAAAAAUGCACAGAGUUCAUUGCUUCAAGGAAUAAUGAUAAGCCAGUUAAUGGUCUAAUGGCAAUUGGAUUUCCAGGUGCAAAACAAGGCAUUGUCUGCAAUGAAUCCUUCAUGUUACAAAAUUUGCCAGUGUGUGGGAAAUCCUUUGAAGAAAUGAUGUACAAAGUGGAUUCUAAAAAAUGGUGCAAUCUAACAGAAUUUAUCCUGUAAGUAUUAUACCUGGUUGUCUAUGGUAUAUUCCUGUGGUGUCAUCCUUGUUGGAAUGGUUUGGAAUUUGGUUGUUCUCUUAGAAACAGCAGACUCAGACUUGCCUUCUCCCACAGAAUAGGAAAAACAUUAUCUUGUUGCUUCUCGGUUAAAGGAAGCCAUUGAAUAAAGCAAAGCAAAACAUCCCA
rnacentral:lncRNA from 1 species